rnacentral:rRNA from 1 species
UGGGGAAUUUUGGACAAUGGGCGCAAGCCUGAUCCAGCCAUGCCGCGUGCGGGAAGAAGGCCUUCGGGUUGUAAACCGCUUUUGUCAGGGAAGAAAUCUUCUGAGUUAAUACCUCGGGAGGAUGACGGUACCUGAAGAAUAAGCACCGGCUAACUACGUGCCAGCAGCCGCGGUAAUACGUAGGGUGCAAGCGUUAAUCGGAAUUACUGGGCGUAAAGCGUGCGCAGGCGGUUUUGUAAGACAGAGGUGAAAUCCCCGGGCUCAACCUGGGAACUGCCUUUGUGACUGCAAGGCUUGAGUGCGGCAGAGGGGGGAUGGAAUUCCGCGUGUAGCAGUGAAAUGCGUAGAUAUGCGGAGGAACACCGAUGGCGAAGGCAAUCCCCUGGGCCUGCACUGACGCUCAUGCACGAAAGCGUGGGGAGCAAACAGGACUAGAUACCCUGGUAGUCCACGCCCUAAACGAUGUCAACUGGUUGUUGGGAAGGUUCCUUCUCAGUAACGUAGCUAACGCGUGAAGUUGACCGCCUGGGGAGUACGGCCGCAAGGUUG